AUAUUUACCCAGCAUGGAAGGAGGACAGCCUGAUCAGGAAGGUGGUUUUCCCAGGGUGAGGGUCACCCCUUGCAUUCCUAGUGUGCUGGUCUUCAAUCUUCCCAAAUGCAGGAAAUUCAGCUGCACCAUUUGUGGUUACCAGGCUGUGUUCAUUCUCUUCCUGU
rnacentral:snRNA from 10 species